rnacentral:rRNA from 1 species
CAGUAGCCGCGGUAAUACGGAGGGUGCAAGCGUUAAUCGGAAUUACUGGGCGUAAAGCGCACGCAGGCGGUCUGUAAGUCAGUGGUGAAAUCUCCAGGCUUAACCUGGAAACUGCCGUUGAUACUAUAGGUCUUGAAUUUUGUGGAGGUUAGCGGAAUAUGUCAUGUAGCGGUGAAAUGCAUAGAUAUGACAUAGAACACCAAUUGCGAAGGCAGCUGGCUACACAACUAUUGACGCUGAGGCACGAAAGCGUGGGGAUCAAACAGGAUUAGAUACCCCCGUAGUCCCUGUCUCUUAUACA